AGUGAGUUUCCAGGUGGGAUCCAGCAGUGAGUUUCCAGGUGGGAUCCAGCAGUGAGUUUCCAUCCAGGUGGAACCCAGCAGUGAGUUUCUAGUGGCUUUUGGAAUCUCCUGCCUGCAGAUCAUACCCAAGGUGUGAAGGAAUUCUGUGGUGAGCAAGGCAGCUCUGUGCAGUUCUUGUGAGCCACGUUUGUCAGUUCUGAAAAGGAAGUGCACAUGAAAAUGUGUGAAGCAGGAGUGGUGUUUGCUCCCUGGGUUUUCUGUGUUGGCUCUAAGAGAAAUACAGAAUGCCAACAGGACCGUGGAAAUUGUAAUCUUGGGACUCAUGUAAAUCUUUCUCUAAGCACCUCCUGAAAAGCAGUGAAAUCCCAGAGUCAUCAGUAAUGCUUACAGAACUUGUGGAAUUGACGUUUUUUAAGGAGUCUUCAGAUUUAUUUUGUUUUCACAUGACUGAAAUGACACAGUGGCACCCGGGCCAUUGACCUCACCAGGGGUCUCGUGCUGCCGAAUCACAGAGAUGCUUUCAAAAACCGUACCUCACGUUCUCAGCCCUUGGCACUCCCUGCUCAAAAUGCAAAUCUGUUUCUUCUGAAGGUAGAGCACAUCCCUGUGAAGCCAAGGAGGCACCUCCAGGGACUGUUUCCAUAACAACCUCCCGGACUGUUUCUCUCCGUGCUGUGACUGUGGCUACAAGCGAAAGCACUCGCUGGAUGUUUCGUGUUCACAUAUCAGCACUUUAUCUUUACAGAUGUUUUCUCUGCUUGCUGGAGCUGAUCCCAUCUCCUUGUACCGUGUACAGCUGCCCUGUCCAGCUGCAGGGGGGCAGUCUCCAGCCUUUGAAAGCAGGGAGUGCAAACCUGGGGGUGGGAAGAGGUUUUAUUUGUCCAUCCUUGCACACAGAGAGCUGGAGAGCCUGUGAAGGACAAUCUGAGCACUCAGCCAGGGAGCUGAGGGGCAGCCAGCCUGUGAAUGUGAAGUCAUCCAGGUGCCUGGUGACAAGGAAUACAAGCUAAAGCAUUGCAUUAAAGACCCAGAAAUUCCCCUUGCAGCAAUCUCACUAGGAAAUAGUUUUGCAGUGGAAGAGACUAUUGCUCCUUCUGGAUCCUGUGGCUGGUUUGUGAUGGUUUGUUCCCCUGAUGAUUUUCCCACAGGAUGCUUUGCACCAAAGCAGGACAGGGCAGAAAUCAUCUCCUUGGAGGUGGGGAAGGAAGAAUUUUACUGAGGACACCAAUUUUUUAUCCACACAAAGGACUGGAAGCAUGAAAGGUGUGAAGACCUGUUCUGUGGUGUUUCACUGGUGGAUUCCUGCUCUUACCUCCAAGACGAAAUUCCUGUUCUGCUCCUUCUUGGAAAAUGUUGGAAUUUGGGAUUUUUGAGUAAUUUUCUGUUUGGGCCUUUUGAUCCAGCUUUCAUGGAUAAAAAUUCACUGCCACAGCAGCCAUGGGGGUGAAGGUGACUGGACUUGGUUUCUCUCCUGGGUCCUCUCAUUCGGAGGUCCCUAUGGGAUAAAGAAGAGUGAGUGUAAAGAAAAUUCAGGGCAGCAAGAGACAGGGUAAAGACUGAAGUGUCUUCCACACAGUGAUGGAAAGAACAACAACCCUAAAAGCAAAGGAACAAACAGCUCCAGCAUCUGCUGCUGUUGCAGAAAUAGGUCCUGUUUACAUCAGGGAAAGAUCUGCAGAUUCCAGCAGGAGUCAACCACAGCUUUCCCAAAAGCUCUCAUCUGACUCAAGUCCAAGCUGGAUUGUGGAUGCUGCAAAAGAGGUUUUUGAAUCUUCUUCCUGUAAAGUUGGUGGAGUUUCUCUCUAUGCAGGAGGUACAACCUUUUUUGUCAGGAAACUGUUUUCCUUCUAUGGUUUUCUUGUUGCUGUUGCUUUUGAAGGGGUCAACACUCUUAGUUCCAGGAAACUGAAACUAAAUGUGAACAGGGACUGGAGGAAGGAAGCAGGGAGAAUCCCCUACAAGACUCUAAUGCCUCUUCUUUCUGGGAAAACUAAAUAAAGCAAGAUUCCACUGCCAGUGGCUGAAUAGCAGUGAUUUAUGAGCUGUUCCUCAAAAGCCCCAGACAAGCACUGAGUCCUGUGGGAAGCUGGAGAUUGACACAGGACACCUCCAGAAGAGCCUGCUGUUGGAACUUCCUUUUAAGCCUUUUUUCAAGUGGAGAAUCCAGACCUGGCAAAUGCAUAAGGUCAGCCCUUAAAAGGGGAAAGAGCUCUCUCGAGGAAAAUCAAAGAAGUGGCUGAAGUCUGUCCAUUUGUCUGCCUGUCUUCUUGGCGUUGGAUUACUGUGCUUUUCAAAGCUGUGCUUUCAUAACUCGGAUUAAAAGGUAGAUGCCACAUAUAGCUCUAGAGCAGUAAUCACCCUGUUCAUGCCAAAUAUCUGCUGCCUGAGGGACGGGCACAACCCAGAGGUGUUUCUCAUUCACCUACAAAGCAUCUGGCUUUAGCAUCUGUACAGUCAGUUGUGACCACGUGAGUCCUUUGCCUGCUCUAAUGGAGUUAGUGACUUAUUUUCAGUGGUUGUAGAGAAUUUCACUGAAAUAGCACAGUUUGUAGUCUAUUGUGUGACUUAGGAGACACAAGAGCCAGACAAUUCUGCAGUUGUAAUGUAAUUGUACGUGGCGCUCCUAGAAAAUGCUCUGAAGUCUUCUCCCGUUGCACCAUUGUGAUAAAAACCUCUGCUGCUUUUCAAGCUCCACAAGUCCAUGCUGUGCUGUGCUGAAAGUGAUGGAAAACCCAAUUAGCUCGGAAAAGUGAAGGGCAGAGAGGGGCGCUCUGGCCUGGAAUUCCCUCCCUUUGGCAGCAGCAAAGGUCAGCCAUGCAGCCCAAUUUCCGUGACCACGUGUGGCUCCAGCUUGUGUGUGUUGCCAGCUCUCUGCACAGGAGAGUGGGAGGGGGGUAGGAAGAAUUGAUUCUGGAAAGGGAGAGCCUGAGAGGAAGAGUGGAAUUAAGACAGCUGGGAUUUUCAGAAGAUAGUUUGAUGGAUGCUGAGCAUCCAACUUCCCUAGAACUCUUUGUCAGGAACACCCUCUAUAUCUUCCUGAGCGGCUUUUAGCCUGUCUGGCACUUUUCAGUGUCAGUGUGUGAGGGAAAAGAGGUAGGAGGCAUUGAUUUGGCAGCUCUGGGACUGCAGUAGCUCCUUGUGGCUGCUGGCUGAGGGUCUGGCUCUCUGAGGAGCUCCUACAGCUUGUUGAACUGGGCUUAGAGAAGCCCUGGGCUGCCAGAGGGAGGCUGCUUCUGGUGCAGCUCUUCUGAGUAGUCCUGGGUGUGAGCCUGCAGCCCUUGGGAGGCAAAAUGCACUCCACAAUCCCAAGGGACCUGCUCUGUCUCUCAGUGCAGGCCAGCUGUGGGAAUCCUCUGAGCCCUCGAUCCUGAUCUGUGUGUCAAGGCCAUGUGGCUGACCAUGAGUGACCAGAGCUGCCAUGGACCCUUCCUGCAAGGACAGCUGUCCUCAGAGUCACUGUAGGUGCAGGCUACCUUUGGAGAAGUGUGAAUAUCCUGGGGAAAUCCAUGGGGCAGAAACCUUGGGCCAUACUGUGUGCCCACACCAUCAGCAGGGAUGAUAUUGGCAGGGAUGCUUUGCUUUUGGUGUGAAACCUUGCUCUGAUUCCAGCUCCCUUACUGGAGCUCAUUUAUUCAGGUCAGGUCUGAAAAAUAGUUGAUGGUGGGGGCUUCUUUUGUUUGUUUGUUUGUUUCACUGAAAACAUGAAGCCUUUCAAAUAAAGAACGUGAGGUAUAGGGAAUUUUUAGCUGGAGUAUGUGCUCCAGGAUGUUUGCUGCGCUCAGGCUUUGAGAACACAAAUUCUCUGCAGACAAUCCCCCAGACAGUGGGAGAUGAGGUUAUUUGGCUUGGGAGUGCACCAGGGAGAUGGGACUCGGGUGAGCUUGGGACAGCAAUCAUUGUCAUUAGUGCUGGUGCCAUAAAAUGUGCUUGAGUCAAAUCCAGCGUUGCACGGGCGAGAACCUGGUGCAACCUUGUAACUCGAUAUUUGUGGUUGUUCCUACCAGUGUGAUCCACUGUUGAAUAGGCUAGACAUGAAUAA